GAGACGGCUGGCUGCCUUUCGAAUAAGAAUAUCAAUAUUGGUAGCUAUUAUGCUAUUUACUGUGAAAGCCAUGUCUGCACGAUUUGCUAUGACAUGGUACAUCAGUUCAUUGUUGGCUUCAGCAUAUGGGAAAAUUCACUUUAAUAUAACUCGCGGAAGCGUAGACAGAUAUACGAAUCCUGGUUGCGAGAGCGGUAUUUGUAUAAAGAGUUGCUCUUUUGGGGCUUCUUGUACAGCAGCUAAUAAUUGCUUUGAAUGCCAUUGCGAUGCCAAAUACCCAACGUUUUAUGGCGCUAAAUGCGUCAGGAAUGAGAGGCUUUCGUUAUCGCUAGAUGAUAGCCAAUCGUUUUUAGCGAACCGUUUUAUGGACACACUGAAUAAUUGCUUGGUACCAUAUUUUGAUGCCGUAAGUGUUACCACAGCCGAUACAUGUGACUUAAACAAUACUAAUCAACACUGGAUUUGGACUAAGCAUGGACAACUUUUAAAUGUGUACACUUUAAAAUGCCUUCAAACUUCGAAUAUACCAGUUUUUAAAUGGUAUCCUAAAGUGAGGCUAACUAAAUGUAAUGCAUCCGAUUCGAGACAAGUAUGGACAUGCUUGAAAGAAAAAGGUCUUGUUCGCCUAAGAUAUCUAAAACAACCACGGUAUCUCAACUAUGGGAAUGUCCUUUUUUAUGUGAUUGUCUUUCGUGGAACUGGCAUAUUCAGCCAAUGGAAACGUUAUUCGACUAAACAACCACUCUGUUCUUCUGUGUCGGCAUAUCACGGUUGCUACAAAUACUUGGACGGGUCAAGGAUGUUUAUAAUCAAGAGAGAAACACUGAACAAUUGCAAAUACUUCCAAAAUUACUGCGAACUAGAAAAACACAUUUCAGCUCCUAUAGAAGUUUCAAAUAAUGGUUAUUGCUAUAUCGAUUUGGAUAAAACGGAGUUUCUUAAUUACAGUCGAUGGCAUUACAUUCCAAAACGAAUUCUCGACAUAAGGUCGUUCCAGAUUGUGAAACGGAACUCGGAAACAAUCACCCUAAAGGUGAAUCUGACUGCUGCGCAUCAUCUUCGAGGACAUAUUAUCAAAAUAUAUAUUGGUUGUAGAAGUAAAAAUGAUGAACGAUCUUCCACCGAUCAGUUGACUCCCACAGAACAAGGAGGGAAUGAAACGCAUUGCGUUUUAGUGAAGUUUUCGGGGGAAUUUAAAGGUGCAUGAACAUCUCUCAUAAGAACACACACGAGGAACUACAUACAGUUUAACCAUAUUCUAUGCAAAUGGGCCGGUAUGGACAUUCCUUAUAUAGUUUUUGUUUAAGGAAGUGAUAACGGCUGUCUUCUGUAAGUCUAUCUCUGCUGUAACUCAACCCUUUCCCUUUUCAGAUUUCUCUUCUGUCAAAAAGGAUAUUUCCUCAACCACCAUGUCAGCCUACGCUGAAAAAAAUCAAAGCAAAAGCGAUUCAUCGACGUUGGUGAUUGUAAUCGUUGU
rnacentral:misc_RNA from 1 species